rnacentral:lncRNA from 1 species
UACGAGUAUCUUAUAAGAUCAAAACGAAUUACUGCGACCUAUAUCUCGACUGACUAUUACCUUAUAAGCAUAUGAUAGUACCUGGUUUGCUCUAAACAAACCGGAGACACCAGAAGUUGUAACUAAUCAGAAUAAAACACUUAUAUACAAUUAUGGCCCGCUGAGGAGGUGAAUAUCCAAAAUGGUCAACCCGAGUAAAGGUUAUUCUAUGAGGGCUUCAGCAUAGAAAUUCAACUAUGACACGUGAUUCAGUAUUAGCCAGUCAAUUAAUUACUAUGUAAUGCAAGGUUAACAAUAAAUGACGGUGCAUACUGCUACCAUUCAUAAACAAUGAACUGAACAAGACUAGGUCAUCUGAAUAAAGAUCUGAACCGAUGUCAAAGCAACAGGUGACAAACGAAACUUCCCUGCAAUCUACAGAACAUGGAUAAAGAAGAGGAGGCAGCAUUCAUAAUUAUAAAUAAUUCUUAUAUGAUUUGCAUAUUAGGGAAUACGUUGAUAUGAUUGGUGGAGAGGACUUCUGGAAGAUGUUUCGGACUUUUAUUUGUUUGUUAGGGAAUUGGUUGAGUUUAUACACCAACAAAUUCAUUUAAAAGGCGUUUAAUCAUAAAAUAUCAAAUUUUCAUAAUAAAGGGUGUUAUAGGUUCAAAAGCGUUUAACUAUUUUUACUUUAAAAUUUCCUCAUUAAGUUUUGCUUAUCGACAUGUAUUAUCUGUAUUUGAUCGAGUGUUGACAGAUUCAAAAGUAAUGAUAGUUUUCUUUUCUUAUUUGUUCUUUUUGAAGAAAUGCAAACUUCGUCAAUUAACAAUAAUUUAAAAUAAGAUUGAAAAAUACCAAAGAAAAACUCAAAAAGACACCUUGACGGAUUGAAAGACAAAAUACAUU